GGGCCCGUCGUAUACCGGUAGUAUAUCUCCAUGGCAUGGAGAGGAAAGGGGUUCGAUUCCCCUCGGGUCCA
rfam:Microgenomates bacterium GW2011_GWC1_49_7 TY49_C0040, whole genome shotgun sequence.